rnacentral:pre_miRNA from 1 species
UUUAAGUGUAGCCAUGAUUUUUCGUGCCCAACUUUAAUUGUCCGUCUUAUUUAAAACUUUUUUGAAAAAAAUUAAAAACAUAAGUCACGAAUAAAAUAUUAUUCAUGUUUUAUCAUAUCAUAACAACAAAAAUAUUAAUUAUAACAAAAAUUCAAAUAAGACGGAUGAUUAAAGUUGGGUGCGGAAACUCAUGGUUACAUUUAAC